CCGGAUGAAGGCAUACGAGGAGGUGAAAGACAUUAUUAAAAAGAAAUGCAACACCGCCACAGUGAUAAAGCAAAGAGAAAACACGUGGCAAAGUAUUACUGACCGUCUGAAUGCGUAAGUAAACACAACUACACACUCACCGCUCCGCUGAAACCUCACAAUUACAAUCCAAAUAGUUAAUUCACAUUUCCAAAAACGCAGUUGUACUCUGAUUAUGAAUGAGUUGAAUUUUUAAUUGAAAUGGACUGUAGAUAUGACUGAAGUUGUGUAAAUAUAACUCCACCAGACUGUAUUAUUCUUUGAUAAAUAGAUGAGCUAAUAAAAGUAAUAACUUUAAUUUAUAUAGCGCCUUUCAAAGGACCCACGGUCACUUACUGACUUCAUUGGAUUUCCUUUUGGAAUAGAUACAUUUUCUCUUUUCUUAUAUUUAGGGUGUAUGUGUCUUCAUCUGUAAAAAAAAAAGAUAAACAAUAGCUACUCAAUAAAAUCGAGGCAACAAAUUGCACGCAAUAUUAUUAAUUAAAUCUAACUACAUUACAAGUUGAGUUAAUGACUUAACAGGAAGUGCCUGUCAAUUAAAAACGGACUAAUUCUAUUGUGUUGAAUUCAUUCAAAAUUCUCUUGAUUUAGAAUUACAUCCACAUAAAGAUUAUAUUUAAUGUGAUCAAAAUAAGUAGAUUAUAUCUCAAACAUUUUUAUAUUAAAGUUACUUAAACAACUGCCUCAAAAUCAAGGACACAUUUAUAUUUAUUGCACUUGAUCAAAUAUAUUAAGUAAAAUGAAAUGACUACAGAAUAGUUUAUUACAGUGUCCUUCCCUGGCCACAGAAGACUCUGACAUCAAAGAGGAGUUCUAUAGGAUUGCAGGUGAGAAAAUCUAGAAAUUACAGGACAACUGUUACCAGUCAUAAUAGGAUACUCAUUACUUUGUGUUAAAGGUUUCCCCAAUGUCACUGGUGCACUGGACUGCACACACCUCAGCAUAAGAUCCCCCCUCAGGGGCCCAUGAGGUGGAUUUUGUGAAUGGGAAAUCAUUUCACAGCAUUAAUGUUCAGAUGGUCUGCAAUGCUGACUGUCUGAUCAACAGACAUGGACUGAGCCAGGCAGAAUGGCCUCAGUCCAUGACUCCAGAGUCUUUGGGACCUCUGAAACCUGUCAGCGCCUAUCACAAGGUGAAUUCUCUGGUGUGUUGCUGGGAGACAGGGGGUCUGUCUGCCAGCCUUUUCUCCUGACACCAUCCACAGACCCCCAGGACGCACAGCAGGCCUACAACCAUGCCCAUGCCAGGACCAGGACCAGGACCAGGACCAGGCCCAGAGUUGAGAUGACCUUUGGCCUCCUGAAGGCACGCUUUCAGUGUCUUCACUGUCCUCCACAAUGUGGCCUGCCUGAGGAAGGAGAGGGCCCCCAGAGUGCCCCCAGCCAUGGACUGGGACAA